CACUCUUGAGGAGCAUUAAUUACUCCAAUGCUUGAUCCUGGGAAGCCCCUUUGCCACGCCCUCCAAAUGGUGCUUCCUCUUCACAGGGCCCAUGAACGGCUGGGAGACCAUCACAUCCCUGCAGCGAGGCUGAUGUAUAACUACCCCCAGAUGUCUGCUGCUGGCAGCUGCUCAGAUAAACCUAUUUGGUUGUGCAAAGCACCCAGGCUGUUCUGGAGAUAAGAAGAAAGAAGAUCUGCACUUCCCUGAGCCCAGAGGUGUCGUUUUCCUCUGGCAGAAAUAGUCCUCCCUCUUGUGUCAAAGUAACUGUAGGAUUUUGCAGCAGGAUCCCGUGAUGCUGUACAAACCCACCUCUGUGCAUCACCCUGGUGCCAGUUACCCCAGGGCCACCCCUGUGAUCAGCCAUUCCAACACUCACACUGAGAAAGGAGACUCACCGGGGCAGGAGGAAGAGGAAAAAGGCCCUAAUUGACAGGAGUAGAAAAAAACCAAUUACAGAGAUGAAAGAGGCAGCUCAGGCAUAUGUUUCUCGGCUUCGGAUCAUCAGAGCUGCCAGUUCUCCUUAUUUCCUAGCAAGGCUCACUCUCUCCCAAGAAGGGGCUCUGGCAGAGUGGGGCCCUUUGUGCCUGCCUGACUCACCUGAGCCCAGGUGAGCAAAGCGCCUGGUGGCAAAAGCGGCAUCAUUCCCGUGGGGGGGGGAAAAAUGGAUUGGAGGUAGAUCAAAGAAAGGAGGAGGAAACAGGGAGAUGAGGGAGGGGAGAAGAAAAAGUGUAUCCCUAGAGAACAAACUAAUCAAACCCGUGGCAUUAAAUAAAACAAAGCAUCUCCCAUUAAUAAUUGAGGAAGC